GUGAAGACGUGCACCAAUAAGACCAUGGACAGACUCUUCACAAAUGACGUAAUGCAAAAAUUCAAUAUGCAAGGUGGUGGGCCACAUGGAAAGAGGGCCUUCAAGAAGACUCCCUUCUACUCUGUUAUCACUGAAGCUGUUCGGAAAACGUUCAAAGAGGCUACGGAUUACAUGAUCAGCUCAGCAAUGGCCGUACAUUUUAAACAGGCCCCAGCUCGAAGUGGUGGAGGGGGCUAUAAGAGG